GCCUCCAUAGCACAGUGGUACUGCGUCGCACUUGUAAUGCGAAGAUCACUCGUUCGAUUCGGGUUGGAGGCA
rnacentral:tRNA from 1 species